rfam:Oryza sativa Japonica Group DNA, chromosome 1, cultivar: Nipponbare, complete sequence.
GAUAAGUGCAGCCAUGAAUUUACGCGUCCAACUUUAAUCGUCCGUUUUAUUUGAAAUUUUUUUAUAAUUAAUUUUUUUAUUGUUAUAAGAUGAUAAAACAUAAAUAAUACUUUACUCGUGACUUAUGUUUUUAUUUUUUUUCAACUUUUUUUAAAUAAGACGAAUGAUUAAAGUUGGGCGCGGAAAACCAUGGCUGUACUUAUU